UACGUAGGGUGCGAGCGUUGUCCGGAAUUAUUGGGCGUAAAGGGCUCGUAGGCGGUCUGUUGCGUCAGGAGUGAAAACUCGGGGCUUAACCCCGAGCCUGCUUCUGAUACGGGCAGACUAGAGGUAUGCAGGGGAGAACGGAAUUCCGGGUGUAGUGGUGGAAUGCGUAGAGAUCCGGAGGAACACCAGCGGCGAAGGCGGCAUCCUGGACUGGUCCUGACGCUCAGGAGCGAAAGCGUGGGGAGCGAUCCGG
rnacentral:rRNA from 1 species